rnacentral:rRNA from 1 species
GGUGAAAAGCACCCCGGAAGGGGAGUGAAAUAGAACCUGAAACCGUGUGCUUACAAGUAGUCAGAGCCCGUUAAUGGGUGAUGGCGUGCCUUUUGUAGAAUGAACCGGCGAGUUACGAUUUGAUGCAAGGUUAAGCAGUAAAUGUGGAGCCGUAGCGAAAGCGAGUCUGAAUAGGGCGUUUAGUAUUUGGUCGUAGACCCGAAACCAGGUGAUCUACCCUUGGUCAGGUUGAAGUUCAGGUAACACUGAAUGGAGGACCGAACCGACUUACGUUGAAAAGUGAGCGGAUGAACUGAGGGUAGCGGAGAAAUUCCAAUCGAACCUGGAGAUAGCUGGUUCUCUCCGAAAUAGCUUUAGGGCUAGCCUCAAGUGAUGAUUAUUGGAGGUAGAGCACUGUUUGGACGAGGGGCCCCUCUCGGGUUACCGAAUUCAGACAAACUCCGAAUGCCAAUUAAUUUAACUUGGGAGUCAGAACAUGGGUGAUAAGGUCCGUGUUCGAAAGGGAAACAGCCCAGACCACCAGCUAAGGUCCCAAAAUAUAUGUUAAGUGGAAAAGGAUGUGGCGUUGCCCAGACAACUAGGAUGUUGGCUUAGAAGCAGCCAUCAUUUAAAGAGUGCGUAAUAGCUCACUAGUCGAGUGACACUGCGCCGAAAAUGUACCGGGGCUAAACAUAUUACCGAAGCUGUGGAUUGUCCUUUGGACAAUGGUAGGAGAGCGUUCUAAGGGCGUUGAAGCAUGAUCGUAAGGACAUGUGGAGCGCUUAGAAGUGAGAAUGCCGGUGUGAGUAGCGAAAGACGGGUGAGAAUCCCGUCCACCGAUUGACUAAGGUUUCCAGAGGAAGGCUCGUCCGCUCUGGGUUAGUCGGGUCCUAAGCUGAGGCCGACAGGCGUAGGCGAUGGAUAACAGGUUGAUAUUCCUGUACCACCUAUAAUCGUUUUAAUCGAUGGGGGGACGCAGUAGGAUAGGCGAAGCGUGCGAUUGGAUUGCACGUCUAAGCAGUAAGGCUGAGUAUUAGGCAAAUCCGGUACUCAUUAAGGCUGAGCUGUGAUGGGGAGAAGACAUUGUGUCUUCGAGUCGUUGAUUUCACACUGCCGAGAAAAGCCUCUAGAUAGAAAAUAGGUGCCCGUACCGCAAACCGACACAGGUAGUCAAGAUGAGAAUUCUAAGGUGAGCGAGCGAACUCUCGUUAAGGAACUCGGCAAAAUGACCCCGUAACUUCGGGAGAAGGGGUGCUCUUUAGGGUUAACGCCCAGAAGAGCCGCAGUGAAUAGGCCCAAGCGACUGUUUAUCAAAAACACAGGUCUCUGCUAAACCGUAAGGUGAUGUAUAGGGGCUGACGCCUGCCCGGUGCUGGAAGGUUAAGAGGAGUGGUUAGCUUCUGCGAAGCUACGAAUCGAAGCCCCAGUAAACGGCGGCCGUAACUAUAACGGUCCUAAGGUAGCGAAAUUCCUUGUCGGGUAAGUUCCGACCCGCACGAAAGGCGUAACGAUUUGGGCACUGUCUCAACGAGAGACUCGGUGAAAUCAUAGUACCUGUGAAGAUGCAGGUUACCCGCGACAGGACGGAAAGACCCCGUGGAGCUUUACUGUAGCCUGAUAUUGAAAUUCGGCACAGCUUGUACAGGAUAGGUAGGAGCCUUUGAAACGUGAGCGCUAGCUUACGUGGAGGCGCUGGUGGGAUACUACCCUAGCUGUGUUGGCUUUCUAACCCGCACCACUUAUCGUGGUGGGAGACAGUGUCAGGCGGGCAGUUUGACUGGGGCGGUCGCCUCCUAAAAGGUAACGGAGGCGCUCAAAGGUUCCCUCAGAAUGGUUGGAAAUCAUUCAUAGAGUGUAAAGGCAUAAGGGAGCUUGACUGCGA